rnacentral:lncRNA from 1 species
CACGUCUACUGAAGGGAUGCUUGGGGCAAAACCUAAUUGCUAAAAGUUGCUUGGAGAAAUAAUUGGUUAUGAACCUACCCAUGGAUGCACUAGUGUUGAUCGAGCUAUACUCGGGCCCGAAUAUAGUCUAUGUGGAUUCUAGUACCCACUAAGAAAUUAAUGUAAUUUUUCAAAUUGAAGGUAGAGGUUACCAAUUCGGAUAAA